UAUUGAUCACGUGGCUUGCUCAAAUAUUAGAUCUUUCCAGUGUUUGGCAAAGACGUCAGGGAGCACUGUAAGAUCCAGUGUUUACCAGAAACCUUUGAUCCAGAAUCCUGUUGUAAAUGUGGAAUUAUAUAAUGUAAAGAAUGGGACUGUAAAGGUCACUGCUUACAGCCAGCUUAAUCUCAUUUGUUUUAAACCUAACAGGUAUAAUUGGGACAGAUGGGAUGCAAGGUAUAAUGACUUUUAUUAUUAUGACCACACUUACUGGUGUAGAGUGAGUUACGAUCACUGUCUGCAAGUGAGAAAGAAUGUACUAGAGACAUUAACCUCAGUCACAUUAGAAAUAUGUGUGACGCCAAAUGAUGAUGGAACAACAUAUCGCUGCUCACCCGGGAAUAAAGAGGUUCGAAUUGUUGUCAUCGCACCUCCUCCUCAACGAGUCAUUCCAGCUGUGAGGCCCAUAACUCCCGGGAACGUUCUACCAAAAGCCAAUAGCGGCAUAGAGCAUGGAGUUGGCAUCAUAAUAGUAUUGACCAGCGUAAUACUUCUUAUCAUCAUUGUGUGUGUUACUGUCACCACAUGCAAGGGUAAGUACCAG